AAAAAUGGUGUUAAAAAAAAAAAAAAAAGAAUACAUGAAGUCACCUCUUUUACCGCCCAAUACACAAUGGUGAAUAAUCAGGAAAUGCCCAUGAGAUUUGAUACCUCGUCUCUCAGCUAUGUUGAGAGAGCAUUUUGUUAACGAUAGUGGCAACGAUUUCGAUUUCAUCAUUUUCAACUGAUUAUUAGGGGCAGUGUUCAUUUCUGAUAGUUUCCUGCAUCGAAAGAAAAUGCUAGUUUCAGCCUAGGCUUUCUAAGAAUGUGGUUGGCAUAAGAAGCAGGGUAAAAAUUUUGUUAUGCACUUGUGCUCAUCUAUUAACAGGGAUAGGAGUGUGAUAAGCUCAUCUUCUAACGGGCAUGGGAGUGUGAUAAGCAAAAUAAAAAACAAUUAUAAACUGAUUACCAAUGAAUUUCUUUUUGAACAGUGAGGUCAACUUUAACUCAAGUUUUUGCGGAGAAAAUUUUGUAUCCUGUAAAAUCCUAUGAAGCCAUCUUACUAAAUAAUUUGGAGUCUUGUGACUUUUAAUCAAGAAUGUACAUUUUAAAAGAAGAAAGACUGCUCAUGAUUGAAUUUACUGUCUAUUGUGUAUUGGACUUUUGUAAGUUUUUUCCCACUUCUCGAAGUUCAGCAAUCAAAUCCUUUGGUUACCGCUCAGGUUUUCAGAAAAUAAAUGUAAUUUGGGAGUUCACCGCGUUUUUGCAAGUAAAAAGCAGUAGCUUGGUGGGCUGUUAAGAGAGGAGAGAGGAGAGUAAAAUGUUUGAGAACAGUCAAGGUUUAUUGUAUUCUCUAUUCCUGGGUUUUUUGGGAGUGAUUUGAAGUCUUCUUGCAUAACCAAAAACACAAAUUUUUGAAAGGUAACAAUGUCUAAGGAUGUUCGGUUCAAUUCAGGGAUUGUCUAGGAGGUGGAAUCAAAUUGAAAUUGUGUAAUGGUUUCGGUUCAGUUCAGUUCUUGAUACUUUGGUU
rnacentral:misc_RNA from 1 species